rnacentral:SRP_RNA from 1 species
GCCGGGCGUGGUGGCGCGUGCCUGUAGUCCCAGCUACUCGGGAGGCUGAGGUGGGAGGAUCGCUUGAGUCCAGGAGUUCUGGGCUGCAGUGCGCUAUGCCGAUCGGGUGUCCGCACUAAGUUCCGCAUCAAUAUGGUGACCUCCCGGGAGCAGGGGACCACCAGGUUGCCUAAGGAGGGGUGAACCGGCCCAGGUCGGAAACGGAGCAGGUCAAAACUCCCGUGCUGAUCAGUAGUGGGAUCGCGCCUGUGAAUAGCCACUGCACUCCAGCCUGGGCAAUAUAGUGAGACCCUGUCUCUA